rnacentral:rRNA from 1 species
UUCCCUUAGUAACUGCGAGUGAAGUGGGAAAAGCUCAAAUUUAAAAUCUGGUAGUCUUUGACUGCCCGAAUUGUAAUCUAGAGAAGCAUUAUCCGUGCUGAACCCAUGUACAAGUCUCCUGGAAUGGAGCGUCACAGAGGGUGAGAAUCCCGUCUUUGACAUGGGGACAAAUCAGUGCUUUGUGAUAUGCUCUCAACGAGUCGAGUUGUUUGGGAAUGCAGCUCUAAAUGGGUGGUAAAUUCCAUCUAAAGCUAAAUAUUGGCGAGAGACCGAUAGCGAACAAGUACCGUGAGGGAAAGAUGAAAAGAACUUUGAAAAGAGAGUUAAACAGUACGUGAAAUUGUUGAAAGGGAAACGCUUAAAGUCAGUCGCAUUGUUCAAGGAUCAACCUUGCUUUUUUUGCUUGGUGUAUUUCUUGAUUCAAUGGGUCAGCAUCAAUUUUGACCAAUAGAAAAGGGCUCAAGGAACGUAGCAUCUUUUAAAGAUGUGUUAUAGCCUUUUGUCAUAUACAUUGGUUGGGAUUGAGGAACUCAGCAUGCCCAAGGGGGCCGGGUUUUAACCACGUCCAUGCUUAGGAUGCUGGCACAAUGGCUUUAAUCGACCCGUCUUGAAACACGGACCAAGGAGUCUAACAUGCCUGCAAGUGUUUGGGUGGUUAAAACCCAUGCGCGCAAUGAAAGUAAAAAUUGGGAUCUCUGUCAUGGAGAGCACCGAUGCCCGGACCAGACCUUUUGUGACGGAUCCGCGGUUGAGCAUGUAUGUUGGGACCCGAAAGAUGGUGAACUAUGCCUGAAUAGGGUGAAGCCAGAGGAAACUCUGGUGGAGGCUCGUAGCGAUUCUGACGUGCAAAUCGAUCGUC